rnacentral:rRNA from 1 species
UACGUAGGGGCCGAGCGUUGUCCGGAGUUACUGGGCGUAAAGCGCGCGCAGGCGGCGCAUCGCGCCCGGCGUGAAAGCCCCCGGCUCAACCGGGGAGGGUCGUCGGGGACGGGUGCGCUUGAGGACGGCAGGGGCAGGUGGAAUUCCCGGUGUAGUGGUGAAAUGCGUAGAGAUCGGGAGGAACACCAGUGGCGAAGGCGACUACCUGGCCUGUUCUUGACGCUGAGGCGCGAAAGCUAGGGGAGCAAACGGG